GACGAACGCUGGCGGCGUGCCUAAUACAUGCAAGUCGAGCGAGACUCUUCGGAGUCUAGCGGCGGACGGGUGAGUAACACGUGGGCAACCUGCCUGUAAGACUGGGAUAACACCGGGAAACCGGUGCUCAUACCGGAUAAUCCUUUUCCUCUCAUGAGGAAAAGCUGAAAGUCGGUUUCGGCUGACCCUUACCUAUGGGCCCGCGGCGCAUUAGCUAGUUGGUGAGGUAACAGCACACCAAGGCGACGAUGCGUAGCCGACCUGAGAGGGUGAUCGGCCACACUGGGACUGAGACAAGGCCCAGACUCCUACGAGAGGCAGCAGUAGGGAAUCUUCCACAAUGGACGAAAGUCUGAUGGUGCAACGCCGCGUGAGCGAUGAAGGCCUUCGGGUCGGAAAGCUCUGUUGUUAGGGAAGAACAAGUAACGGAGUAACUGCCGUUACCUUGACGGUACCUAACCAGAAAGCCACGGCUAACUACGUGCCAGCCGCCGCCGUAAGAC
rnacentral:rRNA from 1 species